GACGAACGCUGGCGGCGUGCUUAACACAUGCAAGUCGAGCGGUAAGGCCCUUUCGGGGGUACGACGAGCGGCGAACGGGUGAGUAACACGUGGGUGACCUGCCCUUACGCUCUGGGAUAAGCCUGGGAAACUGGGUCUAAUACCGGAUAUGACUCCAUGACGCAUGUUGUGGGGUGGAAAGCCUUGUGCGGCUAGGGAUGGGCCCGCGGCCUAUCAGCUUGUUGGUGGGGUGAUGGCCUACCAAGGCGACGACGGGUAGCCGGCCUGAGAGGGCGACCGGCCACACUGGGACUGAGACACGGCCCAGACUCCUACGGGAGGCAGCAGUGGGGAAUCUUGCGCAAUGGGCGAAAGCCUGACGCAGCGACGCCGCGUGGGGAUGACGGCCU
rnacentral:rRNA from 1 species